UACGUAGGGGGCGAGCGUUAUCCGGAUUUAUUGGGCGUAAAGCGUGCGUAGGCGGUUUGUUAAGUCCAGAAUUAAAGCCCGAGGCUUAACCUCGGUUCGUUCUGGAUACUGGCAGGCUUGAGUAUGGUAGAGGCAAAUGGAAUUCCUAGUGUAGCGGUGAAAUGCGUAGAUAUUAGGAGGAACACCAGUGGCGAAGGCGAUUUGCUGGGCCAUCACUGACGCUGAGGUACGAAAGCGUGGGGAGCAAA
rnacentral:rRNA from 1 species